AACACUUGGCGAUCAGCUUGUCA
rnacentral:siRNA from 1 species